ensembl:lncRNA
AAAAAGAAUAAACCACAGAGCCACUGAUUUACAAAGCUGUGACUCCUACUACCAACCACCUCAAACUGCUUUGGGCUGUAGAGCUGAGCCGGACCGUUUAAAGUCUUACCAUAAAUGUGUUCAUGUAUUACAGGGAGAAAAUUAAUCAGAAAUGACUUGUUUAUGGAGUGUAUGACAAUGUGUUGAUUUUCACCACAGUCAUGACAUGUGGCAAACAUCAGCGCUGACAAGAGGAACGUACACAGUUGCAUUCUCUCAACAAAAAAGCUUGCCACUCUGGAUUCAAACAAAACUUGCUAAAAAUUUUUGUUCACAAUAACAGCCGACCGGUAAAAGUUACUAACAGGUCGAUGUACUAGUGCAGAAAGGUAAUGAAACUGGGUUCACCUCGGCACUCUCACUUGGGAGGGUCCUCUUCGUCUGCUGUCUGCACAGAUGAGAGCUUUAGGCUAAAUCUCUGCUCCGGAGGGUGACACUCUUCAGCUCUUUGCCACUAUAAUGGCAGGACUCAAGCCAGAUAAUGAUGCUGACAGCCCAACUGUCAGUCUGCCUCUUCCUGCAGCAGCCCCUUAAGAGCUCAACGUGGGACACUGGCCAUGAAUCCGUGAGACUGCUGCAUUUUCAAAAGUCAUUAAUCUAAACAAAGACACCCCGGAGUCUUCCGUGACUCCCUCCGCUCGGCCUUGUCCUCUGCUCAGGAUGGAGGAGACGAAGAGUGAGUGCAAAAGAGGCAGCUCAAAGUUCUGCAGUGCUCUGACGGCCUGACGUGGAGUCAGUGGGCCUCGCAGGUAAAAGGAAGUGGCUUUUUCAGCACCUUGGAGAGCUCUUGAAACCAAUGCAGUGAGGGCAGCUUUGAUGAAGGCUAUGAGUGAAGGUUAUUCUGGACACAUCAGAGUUAGCAGUGCUGCAUUCAGAAUUCAAUUGAAAAUGCAUUGUACAUUCCAGUCAAAAACAAUCCUGGCAAUGUUCCAUGGAAAGGCCAAGAAGAAAUGACAACAGCGAAAAGAUUUCAGCUCUUGCUUUUGCUGGGAACUGAUCCUAUGGCCUUGACAUUGAUAGUGCUAUGCUCUACUCUUUGAGCACUUGUUGUUCCCGCAAACCUCGGAAGUGAAGCUGUCAUUGACAUAUUCUCAAUUCCACCAGCAUCUGGCCCCAAACAAGUACAUCAAAUCCCACCCAACAGCUCGCCGGAGCGUGCCAACUGACACUCUCCAUUACGUGUCAUGCCCGCAAAGAGCCAUGGCCCACAGAGUGGCAGGACGGAGCACUUCCCAUUAGAACCCUAAAGAGGAGGACAUCAAACAAUCUGGGGAGCAAACACAACCUCGGGAGAGCCACACAUCAUCAUAUUUUAAUAGAACAUGUGGCUUCUUUGCUGUUGUCUUGUGUCCAAAUUGCAAUAGUGAAUUCUGUCCAGCUGUCGAUCUACAAAUGAGGCUCAAUUACCCAGGCACUAGCUGUAGCGUAUGUGCAAGAGCGCAGUCUCUCUCUCCACGCUCUGCCAGACUCCUGGCUCUAAAUGUUGAACAAAGUGAGACAGAGUAGUUUGAGUCGCCUUUGGUCAAGCUUCCAUGUGGGUGACAGGUGACAUCAUCCAGACUGACAAUGUUUUCUCGGCCCCCCACUUCAGCAACCCUCUGUGCUUCUGUGUGUAAACACUGGGAAGCAUUGGAUCCUGAACACAGCGAAACUGUAAAAUUGACUUUGCCACCUUCGUAAUGGAGCUGUUGGCAUGUGAUGCUUGUGC